GAUAACAGGCUUAUCUCCCCCAAGAGUCCACAUCGACGGGGAGGUUUGGCACCUCGAUGUCGGCUCAUCGCAUCCUGGGGCUGAAGUAGGUCCCAAGGGUUGGGCUGUUCGCCCAUUAAAGCGGUACGCGAGCUGGGUUCAGAACGUCGUGAGACAGUUC
rnacentral:ncRNA from 1 species